rnacentral:rRNA from 1 species
AGAGUUUGAUCAUGGCUCAGAUUGAACGCUGGCGGCAGGCUUAACACAUGCAAGUCGAACGGUAACAGAACUAGCUUGCUAGUUGCUGACGAGUGGCGGACGGGUGAGUAACGCGUAGGAAUCUACCGAAUAGUGGGGGACAACAGUUGGAAACGGCUGCUAAUACCGCAUACGCCCUACGGGGGAAAGGAGGGGAUCUUCGGACCUUUCGCUAUUUGAUGAGCCUGCGUGAGAUUAGUUAGUUGGUGGGGUAAUGGCUCACCAAGGCGACGAUCUCUAGCUGGUCUGAGAGGAUGAUCAGCCACACUGGGACUGAGACACGGCCCAGACUCCUACGGGAGGCAGCAGUGGGGAAUAUUGCACAAUGGGGGAAACCCUGAUGCAGCCAUGCCGCGUGUGUGAAGAAGGCCUUCGGGUUGUAAAGCACUUUCAGUUGUGAGGAAAGGUUAAGGGUUAA